rnacentral:ncRNA from 2 species
AAAAUGACUGGCUAUGGCAUUAGCCUUGGCGUGAGCCAGAACCGCCCUUUUUCUAAAGGAGCUGAUAAUGCCUACCAACAA